rnacentral:rRNA from 1 species
GAUGAACGCUGGCGGCGUGCCUAACACAUGCAAGUCGAGCGGGGUUUUAUUAGAGCUUGCUUUAAUAAAACCAAGCGGCGGACGGGUUGAGUAACGCGUUGGGUAACCUGCCCUAUACACAGGGAUAACAUUAAGAAAUUGACGCUAAUACCGGAUAAGCUAACAGCUAGGCAUCUAGCAGUUAGAAAAACUGAGGUGGUAUAGGAGGGGCCCGCGUCUGAUUAGCUAGUUGGUGGGGUAAAGGCCUACCAAGGCGACGAUCAGUAGCCGACCUGAGAGGGUGAUCGGCCACAUUGGAACUGAGACACGGUCCAAACUCCUACGGGAGGCAGCAGUGGGGAAUAUUGCACAAUGGGGGGAACCCUGAUGCAGCAACGCCGCGUGAAGGAAGAAGUAUUUCGGUAUGUAACUUCUAUCGAUAGGGAAGAAGAAAUGACGGUACCUAAAUAAGAAGCACCGGCUAAAUACGUGCCAGCAGCCGCGGUAAUACGUAUGGUGCAAGCGUUAUCCGGAUUUACUGGGUGUAAAGGGUGAGUAGGCGGUUAAGCAAGUCAUAUGUGAAAUUCUGGGGCUCAACCUCAGAGCUGCAUAAGAAACUGUUUAACUAGAGUACAGGAGAGGUAAGCGGAAUUCCUAGUGUAGCGGUGAAAUGCGUAGAUAUUAGGAAGAACACCGGUGGCGAAGGCGGCUUACUGGACUGAAACUGACGCUGAGUCACGAAAGCGUGGGGAGCGAACAGGAUUAGAUACCCUGGUAGUCCACGCCGUAAACGAUGAGUGCUAGGUGUUGGGGAGAGAUUCUCGGUGCCGCAGCAAACGCAAUAAGCACUCCACCUGGGGAGUACGACCGCAAGGUUGAAAACUCAAAGGAAUUGACGGGGACCCGCACAAGCGGUGGAGCAUGUGGUUUAAUUCGAAGCAAACGCGAAGAACCUUACCUAAACUUGACAUACCAUUGACAGGUUAUGUAAUGUAAUUUUCCUUCGGGACAGUGGAUACAGGUGGUGCAUGGUUGUCGUCAGCUCGUGUCGUGAGAUGUUGGGUUAAGUCCCGCAACGAGCGCAACCCCUAUACUUAGUAGCCAGCAUUUAAGAUGGGCACUCUAGGUAGACUGCCGUGGAUAAACACGGAGGAAGGUGGGGAUGACGUCAAAUCAUCAUGCCCCUUAUGUUUAGGGCUACACACGUGCUACAAUGGCUGUAACAAAGUGAGGCGAGAUAGUGAUAUGGAGCAAAGCACAGAAAAACGGUCCCAGUUCGGAUUGUAGUCUGCAAACUCGACUACAUGAAGAUGGAAUCGCUAGUAAUCGCGAAAUCAGAAUGUCGCGGUGAAUACGUUCCCGGGUCU